GACGUAGGGAGCGAGCGUUGUCCGGAUUCAUUGGGCGUAAAGAGCGCGUAGGCGGCCGUGCAAGUCGGUUGUGAAAUCCCGGGGCUCAACCCCGGGACUGCGUCCGAUACUGCACGGCUCGAGGCAGGUAGGGGAGAGUGGAAUUCCCGGUGUAGCGGUGAAAUGCGCAGAUAUCGGGAAGAACACCCGUGGCGAAGGCGGCUCUCUGGGACGGUACUGACGCUGAGGUGCGAAAGCGUGGGGAGCAAACAGG
rnacentral:rRNA from 1 species